rnacentral:rRNA from 1 species
AACGAACGCUGGCGGCAUGCCUAACACAUGCAAGUCGAACGAGACCUUCGGGUCUAGUGGCGCACGGGUGCGUAACGCGUGGGAAUCUGCCCUUGGGUUCGGAAUAACAGUGAGAAAUUACUGCUAAUACCGGAUGAUGUCUUCGGACCAAAGAUUUAUCGCCCAGGGAUGAGCCCGCGUAGGAUUAGCUAGUUGGUGGGGUAAUGGCCUACCAAGGCGACGAUCCUUAGCUGGUCUGAGAGGAUGAUCAGCCACACUGGGACUGAGACACGGCCCAGACUCCUACGGGAGGCAGCAGUGGGGAAUAUUGGACAAUGGGCGCAAGCCUGAUGCAGCAAUGCCGCGUGAGUGAUGAAGGCCUUAGGGUUGUAAAGCUCUUUUACCCGGGAUGAUAAUGACAGUACCGGGAGAAUAAGCUCCGGCUAACUCCGUG